UGUCUGUGAUGACAAACUAAUAUUUCUGACACCUCGUAUGAAAGCUUCCAGCUCCUGAUUCUAACGUUUAUCUGAGGCAA